AUUUAACGGCCGCGGUACCCUAACCGUGCGAAGGUAGCAUAAUCACUUGUUCUUUAAAUGAGGACUCGUAUCAACGGCAUCACGAGGAUCCUACUGUCUCCCCCCUCUAAUCGGUGAAACUGAUCUCUCCGUGAAGAAGCGGAGAUGUACAUAUAAGACGAGAAGACCCCAUGGAGCUUUAAACCCAACAACACCCGCCCCCCUCCAAAUCCUAUUAUUUACCCGGUGACUGUUUGUUUGGUUUUAGGUUGGGGUGACCGCGGAGUAUAAGAUAUCCUCCAUGAAAAAAAGCUAACUGCCCUUAUUAGAGAAAGACACUUCCAAAAAAUAAUAAAUUAAUUUUAAAUGAUCCGACAUUCGAUCAACGAACCAAGUUACCCUGGGGAUAACAGCGCAAUCCGCCCCGAGAGCCCCUAUCGACAGGCGGGUUUACGACCUCGAUGUUGGAUCAGGGUAUCCCAGUGGUGCAGCAGCUACUAAA
rnacentral:rRNA from 1 species